rnacentral:rRNA from 1 species
GACGAACGCUGGCGGCGCGCUUAACACAUGCAAGUCGAGGGGUGUUUACACCACUGGCGCACGGGUGAGUAACGCGUAGGCAAUCUGCCCCCUAUCACAGACAUAACGUCGGGAAACUGGCGCUAAUAUCUGAUGAGGACUCCGGUUCAAAGUAGUGAUAUGGAUAGGGAUGAGCCUGCGUUAGAUUAGCUAGUUGGUGAGGUAACUGCUCACCAAGGGCGACGAUCUAUAGCUGGUCUGAGAGGACGAUCAGCCACACUGGAACUGAGACACGGUCCAGACUCCUACGGGAGGCAGCAGUGAGGAAUUUUGGACAAUGGAGGCAACUCUGAUCCAGCGACGCCGCGUGUUGGACGACGGGGCUUAGCCCUGUAAACAACUGUCGGAUGGGGAAAAAGUCUGCUACGGUGGACUGGGCUUGUACCAUCAAAGGAAGGUCGGCUAACUACGUGCCAGCAGCCGCGGUAAACCACGAGAGUA